CCUCCCUUUCCAUUUUUGUAGUUUUCCUUAGAUCCUUGGUUUAAUUACACUAAUAUUUUGCCUACAAUGCCCAAUUGGUAAAAGCAUGUACUUAAACUGCUGUGAGUAACCGUUUAUUUUGCAGCUAUUCAUUUUAAUAGCUUAGCUGGACCAUAGUGAUAUUGUUUUGGGCUUUCUCUUGGUUGCUUAAGUCAAAUUGGACAAAAAUUUGGGAUUCUUUGUUCGUGUUUUU
rnacentral:lncRNA from 1 species